ensembl:lncRNA
GAGAGAGCCUUGUUGUGGUAGGAGAAGGGAGUAGUGUGGGAGAAUGUCAAUCCGAGAUGCAGAGCAUCAAACAGGCCUCUUUCCCUUUUUCAGCUCCACGCCUCACUUCCUGUCUCUGACUGCCCUCUCCUGUGUCAAUCACACACUUGGAAGUGCCGCCGAACAAAAGACUAAAAUAUCUUCUCCGCCCCAAACCUAUUACCGUUCCUGCUCCUCUCUUAAUCUGAGGAAAGGGGGAGGAGGGGGGCAUUCAGCUGCUCCCGAAGAUCACAAUGUUUAUCAUAGACCCUAAUUAGACCCACAACCAGCGUAAGCCGCACACACUCACACACACGCAAAUCACUCAGGUGCCAUGCACGACUUUGUCUCACACUGUCUCUGAUUAGAAUGAACUGAGGCCCUUACUUUGCAUUGGUAAUUAACAUAAGUGUCCCCUCUGCUCUACUUUCCUAUUCUUCUCCAUCUAGAAAUAUGGUGGCCUGGUGAAUGGUUCCUCAGCUAAGUCAACUAAAGCUAUUAAAAAAAACAGACAUACUCACAUGGGCGUAAUUGGUUAUUUGGAAAGCGGCGCUGACUUCCACCUCACGUUGCCAUGGUAACUAGACGUAUUUUCUUGAAGCAGCACUUUUUUUCCCCCAUCCGUCGUGUUAUUCAUUCAACCUCCUCGAAAUUCUUUUUUUUUUUUUUUUCCUCCUCCAUCUACAUCUGACAUUUGAGUCAUUUAGCAGAUGCUCUUAUCCAGAGAGACUGGCAGUGCAUACAUUUUUAUACUUUAUUUUGUACAUUAUUUUCUCCGGAUCUAUUCUACAUUCUCUUCUCCUAUAGCCAGUGGCCUUACCAGCCUGAUGACAGAUGGGACGGUAAAGAACAAUAACACGCACACACUGACAUAUUGUAGUAUUUUUGUGCCAUAGUUUAAAACUCACGAUACAACAGAUUACCCAGGGGCUGGUUAUUUAUUGUGCAGUCUUUCCAGUGUCUAGGAUACCCAAACUCCCAUACUAGUACAAAGAAAACCUUGAGCGUGCCACAGAGUGAGAGGAAAGGCAACACGGAUGUUUGUGGUGGGAGAGUCUGUGAUAGACAUUAUCUGACGACUGACCGGCUAGUCCUGUGUCGGCUGGUCCUGGCCAGGUCGACUGGGAUGUCGAUAGACGCCAUCUGAGUUAAAAGCAAUAACCUUCAGGUUAAAGUAGGACUGAUAGACUGAGAGUAACAGAGAUCAGCUCUCUCUCUCACACUCACUCCAGG